rnacentral:rRNA from 1 species
CCUACGGUGGGCAGCAGUAGGGAAUAUUGCUCAAUGGGGGAAACCCUGAAGCAGCAACGCCGCGUGGAGGAUGAAGGUUUUCGGAUUUUAAACUCCUUUUGUUAGAGAAGAUAAUGACGGUCUCUAACGAAUAAGCACCUGCUAACUGCGUGCCAGCAGCCGUGGUAAUACGGAGGGUGCAAGCGUUUAUCGGAAUCACUGGGCGUAAAGAGCGCGUAGGCGGGAUAGCAAGUCAGAUGUGAAAGCCUAUGGCUUAACCAUAGAACGGCAUUUGAUAGUGUUAUUCUAGAGUAUGGGAGAGGUAGGUGGAAUGCUUGGUGUAGGGGUAAAAUCCGUAGAGAUCAAGAGGAAUACUCAGUGCGAAGGCGACCUGCGAGAACAUAACUGACGCUGAUGCGCGAAAGCGUGGGGAGCAAACAGGAUUAGAUACCCCAGUAGUC